UACAGAGGUGGCAAGCGUUGUUCGGAAUUACUGGGCGUAAAGGGCGCGUAGGCGGUUCGUUAAGUCCUGCGUGAAAUCCCCCGGCUCAACUGGGGAACUGCACAGGAAACUAGCGGGCUUGAGUUCGGGAGAGGGAAGCGGAAUUCCCGGUGUAGCGGUGAAAUGCGUAGAGCUCGGGAAGAACAUCGGUGGCGAAGGCGGCUCUCUGGGACGGUACUGACGCUGAGACGCGAAAGCGUGGGGAGCAAACGGG
rnacentral:rRNA from 1 species